CCUACGGGGGGCUGCAGUGGGGAGUUUUGCGCAAUGCUCGUAAGAGUGACGCAGCGACGCCGCGUGAAUGACGAAGGCCUUCGGGUCGUAAAGUUCUUUCGACAGGGAAGAAAAUGCCUAUAAGUAACUGUGUAUGUAUUGACGGUACCUGUAUAAGCAGCCCCGGCUAACUCCGUGCCAGCAGCCGCGGUAAUACGGAGGGGGCGAGCGUUGUUCGGAGGGACUGGGCGUAAAGAGCACGUAGGCGGUGUUGUAAGUCAUUAGUCAAAGACUAGAGCUCAACUUUAGUAAGGCUAGUGAUACUAUAAUACUAGAGUAUCAGAGAGGAUUGCAGAAUUCCUGGUGUAGCGGUGAAAUGCGUAGAUAUCAGGAGGAAUACCGUUAGCGAAGGCGGCAAUCUGGCUGGAAACUGACGCUGAGGUGCGAAAGCGUGGGUAGCAAACAGGAUUAGAUACCCCUGUAGUC
rnacentral:rRNA from 1 species